rnacentral:rRNA from 1 species
CGUCCCUACGGGGGCAGCAGUGAGGAAUAUUGGUCAAUGGACGAGAGUCUGAACCAGCCAAGUAGCGUGAAGGAUGACUGCCCUAUGGGUUGUAAACUUCUUUUAUAAAGGAAUAAAACGAGGCACGUGUGCCUUUUUGCAUGUACUUUAUGAAUAAGGAUCGGCUAACUCCGUGCCAGCAGCCGCGGUAAUACGGAGGAUCCGAGCGUUAUCCGGAUUUACUGGGUGUAAAGGGCGUGCAGCCGGGAAGACAAGUCAGAUGUGAAAUCCCGCGGCUCAACCGCGGAACUGCAUUUGAAACUGUU